rnacentral:rRNA from 1 species
UACAGAGGGUGCGAGCGUUGUCCGGAAUCACUGGGCGUAAAGGGCGCGUAGGUGGCGACCCAAGUCGAUGGUGAAAGCUCGCCGCUCAACGGCGAGUCGGCCACCGAUACUGGGUUGCUGGAGCACUGUAGAGGCAGAUGGAAUUCCGGGUGUAGCGGUGGAAUGCGUAGAGAUCCGGAAGAACACCGGUGGCGAAGGCGGUCUGCUGGGCAGUUGCUGACACUGAGGCGCGGACAGCGUGGGGAG